rnacentral:rRNA from 1 species
AACGAACGCUGGCGGCAGGCUUAACACAUGCAAGUCGAGCGCCCCGCAAGGGGAGCGGCAGACGGGUGAGUAACGCGUGGGAAUCUACCCAUCUCUACGGAAUAACGCAUGGAAACGUGUGCUAAUACCGUAUACGUCCUUCGGGAGAAAGAUUUAUCGGAGAUGGAUGAGCCCGCGUUGGAUUAGCUAGUUGGUGGGGUAAAGGCCUACCAAGGCGACGAUCCAUAGCUGGUCUGAGAGGAUGAUCAGCCACACUGGGACUGAGACACGGCCCAGACUCCUACGGGAGGCAGCAGUGGGGAAUAUUGGACAAUGGGCGCAAGCCUGAUCCAGCCAUGCCGCGUGAGUGAUGAAGGCCCUAGGGUUGCAAAGCUCUUUCGCCGGUGAAGAUAAUGACGGUAACCGGAGAAGAAGCCCCGGCUAACUUCGUGCCAGCAGCCGCCGUAACAC